UGAACGCUAGCGGCAGGCUUAACACAUGCAAGUCGAGGGGUAUAGGUUUUCGGGCCUAGAGACCGGCAGACGGGUGAGUAACGCGUGGGAACGUACCUUUUGGUUCGGAACAACCCAGGGAAACUUGGGCUAAUACCGGAUAAGCCCUUACGGGGAAAGAUUUAUCGCCGAAAGAUCGGCCCGCGUCUGAUUAGCUAGUUGGUGAGGUAAUGGCUCACCAAGGCGACGAUCAGUAGCUGGUCUGAGAGGAUGAUCAGCCACAUUGGGACUGAGACACGGCCCAAACUCCUACGGGAGGCAGCAGUGGGGAAUAUUGGACAAUGGGGGCAACCCUGAUCCAGCCAUGCCGCGUGAGUGAUGAAGGCCCUAGGGUUGUAAAGCUCUUUUGUGCGGGAAGAUAAUGACGGUACCGCAAGAAUAAGCCCCGGCUAACUUCGUGCCAGCCGCCGCGGUAACAC
rnacentral:rRNA from 1 species